rnacentral:lncRNA from 1 species
AAGGAUCGGCCUGAAAUUCGCGUUUUCCGGCGACGAGGCGGCGACGGGCGACUGGAGAUGGGUCGGGGAACGUCGGCGAGGUCUGGCCGGUUGUUUCGGGUCCGGUCUCGCGGCUGGCCGUGGUCUGUGGCGGUGGCUCCGUGUCUGCAAAUCGGAGAAGGAGGAAGAGGGACGCGGGAGAGAGAGAGAGAGAAUCGGGAGGAAGAGAGAGAAAGUGAGGUAAAACUGGAAAAAAAAUCUGAUUUUUACCCUAACCUUUUUUGAAAUAUUUACAAGUUUGCCACCGACACUAUUUUGCCCGUAGCUUUUUCGUUACAACCCCGAUUCAAGCCUACUGCAUGUCUACGAAAUCAUCUCGGUACCAACUACCCAAAAAUACCACUCGUGGUCCAAAAAUCCUUCCGAAGAAGAAAGUGACCAUUUUACCCCUAACUCAAGGGUAGUUUCGUAAUUUUAUUUAAAUCGUUUAAAAUAAAUAUUUAAAUUGGAGUCGGGGUGUUACAAUCUACCCUCCUUAAAGAAAAUUUCGUCCCCGAAAUUCACGUACCCGUCAAUGGAAAAGAUAAGGGUACUUGACCCUCAUUUGUGCCUCGGGCUCCCAUGUAGCUUUUUCCACAGUUUGGCUUCUCCACAGAACCUUCACUACUGGAAUGGAUCUAGAGCGCAACUGUUGUUCUUUCCUAUCUAGAAUUUGUACAGGUUGCUCCUCAAAUGACAAAUCUUCUUCCAACUCCACAGGUGGAUAUUCUAAAACAUGGGAAGGGUCUGGCAUAUACUUCCGAAGCAUAGAUACAUGGAACACAUCAUGCACUCGAGACAGUUCUGCAGGUAAUGCAAGUCUAUAUGCAACCGGUCCGAUGCGUUCAGUAAUCUCAUAGGGUCCAAUAUAACGAGGGCUUAACUUCCCACGUUUGCCAAAUCUCAUUACACCCUUCCAAGGAGAUAGCUUCAGAAACACCCAAUCCCCAACUGCAAAUUCGAGAUCUUUGGACCUAUUAUCUGCAUAACUCUUCUGUCGGUCUUGUGCGAUCUUCAGCUUCUCUUUAAUCAUCUUCACUUUUUCGGUUGUUGCUCGGAUACUUUCCACUUUUUCUAAUUUCUUAUCUCCCACUUCGUUCCAACAAAUAGGAGUCCUACACUGUCUCCCGUACAACGCCUCAUAAGGAGCCAUUUUUAUACUCGCAUGAUAACUGUUAUUGUAUGCAAAUUCCACCAAGGCAAGGUGAGUAUCCCAUGAAUCUUUCAUCUGCAGUACACACGACCUCAACAUAUCCUCCAAAGUCUGAAUAGUUCUUUCUGAUUGUCCAUCAGUCUGUGGGUGAAAAGCUGUGCUGAACCGCAACCUAGUACCCAUAGCUUCCUGUAAACACUUCCAGAAUCGAGAAGUAAAUCGGGCAUCUCUGUCCGAUACAAUGGACACAGGUGCUCCAUGUAACCUCACAAUCUCGUCCACAAAAAGUUUUGCCAACUUUGUCAGAGAAUAAGUUUCCUUAACAGGUAGGAAAUGGGCGGACUUGGUGAGUCUAUCCACUAUCACCCAAAUUCCAUCAUGUCCCUUGGGAGUACGUGGAAGCUUGAAAACGAAAUCCAUGGUAAUGUGCUCCCACUUCCAUUCAGGAAUUGGAAGCGGUUGCAUAAGUCCGGAAGGUUUCUGUCGCUCUGCUUUCACUUGUUGACAAAUCAAGCAUCUACUCACAUACUUGGCAAUGUCUCCCUUCAUAUGCGGCCAUGAGUAAUACUCCCGUAGGGUUCGAUACAUCUUGGUGCUUCCUGGAUGCAUAGUGUAAGUGGAACAGUGAGCUUCCUCCAGGAUUUCUCUUUUCAGGUAAUCAUUCUUAGGUACACAGAGGCGAGUUCCUGCUACUAACGCCCCAUCUCCCCUUAUUGCAUAAUCUUUCCGCGAACCACUUUCUACUUCUCCCCUUAUUCUACAAAGUGUUGUGUCUCCCAACUGAGCUUCAAUUAUCCGCUCCACCAAAAUGGGUCUCACAUGCAAACUAGCAAGUAUUCCACCCUGUUGGGUCAUUUCUAAUCCCACUCCAUCUUUCCGCAGUUCCACUAACAACGGAAGAUACGCCGUUCUGAGAUGAGCCAAACUUCCCGUAGUCUUCCUACUCAGUGCAUCUGCUACCACAUUAGCUCGGCCUGGAUGAUACUCAAUCGUGCAGUCAUAAUCCUUUAUCAAUUCCAACCAACGCCGUUGUCUCAUAUUAAGCUCAUUUUGAGUGAAGAAGUACUUAAGGCUUUUAUGAUCAGUGAAAAUCUGACACGUCUCACCAUACAAAUAAUGCCGCCAAAUCUUGAGAGCGAACACUACAGCGGCAAGUUCCAGAUCAUGAACUGGAUAAUUCUGCUCAUGCUUCUUGAGUUGCCUCGAGGCAUAAGCAAUCACCCGAUCAUGUUGCAUCAGAACACAUCCCAAGCCUCGCAAAGAUGCAUCACUGUAGAUCACAAAAUUUCCUGCAUUAUCUGGAAAAGCCAAAACAGGUGCAGUGGUUAAUCGCUUCUUUAAUUCCUUAAAACUUUGUUCACAUUCUUCCGUCCACUCAUAUGCAACAUCUUUCCUUGUCAAUCGUGUGAGAGGUGCUGCUAUCGAAGAAAACCCUUCCACAAAUCGACGAUAGUAGCCUGCCAAUCCCAGAAAACUCCGUAUUUCUGUCACACUGGUGGGUUGUACCCAGUUCACAAUAGCUUCAACUUUCUGUGGAUCCACAUAAAUCCCUUCAGCUGAAAUUACAUGUCCCAAAAAUACCACUCUGUCCAGCCAGAACUGACACUUACUAAAUUUAGCAUAAAGCUGCUUCCUUCUCAAGGUUCUCAAUACCAACCUCAGAUGUUUCUUAUGCCCUUCCAGAGUCUGAGAAUACACCAAGAUAUCAUCUAUGAACACAAUCACAAAGUGAUCCAAGUAUGGUCGGAACACCCUGUUCAUGAGAUCCAUAAACGCUGCUGGAGCAUUUGUCAGCCCAAACGGCAUCACCAGAAAUUCAUAAUGUCCAUACCGUGUCCUGAACGCGGUCUUAGGAAUAUCCUCUUCCCUGAUCCUCAACUGGUGGUAUCCCGAUCUCAGAUCGAUCUUAGAAAAAUACUUAGCACCCUUCAACUGAUCAAACAGAUCAUCAAUCCGAGGCAACGGAUACCGGUUACGUAUCGUCACCUUAUUCAUCUGCCGGUAAUCAAUGCAUAACCUCAUGGUUCCAUCUUUCUUCCUCACAAACAACACAGGUGCACCCCACGGUGAAACACUGGGUCUGAUGAACCCAAGAUCUACUAACUCCUGUAAUUGAAUCUUCAACUCCCGAAGUUCAGCUGGUGCCAUCCUAUAGGGGGUUAGAUAAAUAGGGUUGGUGCCCGGAAGAAGUUCAAUAGUGAACUCGAUUUCCCUUUCAGGGGGUAAACCAGGGAGAUCAUCUGGAAAGACAUCAGGAAAAUCACAAACAACAGGGAUAUCUUCCAGAUUUAGAGUGAUCUCUCGAGUAUCAAUGAUAUGAGCCAAAUACCCCUCACAUCCCUUCUGGAGCAACUUCUUGGCUGUAAUAGCAGAAAUCAGACAAGUAGGGAGAACUCUACGCUCCCCACGGAAGGUAACUCUAGGUUGCCCUGGACUUCGAAAUGUUACUUCCUUCCGAUAACAAUCCACUGAAGCAUGAUGUUUCUCCAGCCAAUCCAUCCCCAAAAUAAUAUCCAAAUCCACCAAAUCUAAAGGGAUUAAAUUUGCUUCCAACCAUGCAUCAUCUACUUGGACAAAACAAUUUCUGAAUACCCGAUCUGCGUAUAAGACUUCUCCCGUAGGUAGGGAAAUACUAAAGCUCCCUGUCAUAGGUGUGGGUCUAAUACUGACAUACGGUAUGAAAUUGUGUGCUACAAAGGAGUGUGUGGCCCCCGGGUCAAUUAAAACACGUGCAAGAUAACCAAAAAUCGGAAUCAUACCAGUAAUCACAUCCGGGGUAGCAUAGGCUUCCUGCUGAGACAUGGAGAACACACGAGCCUGAGUAGUGGAGCGCCCAGGUUGACCCCUUGAUAGCCUACCACCUCUGCCUCUAGAAGAUGCCGAUGCCCUACUACUGGAUGACCCUGCUGCAGAUGAAGAAACACCACCCUGAUUCUGAUUCUGACCCAAAAUACCUUGCCCCAGCUGGGCCCCAGUUCCCUGAUUCCCUGCAUCAUUCUGGAGUAUAAUUGGGCAGUUUCUCUUAGUAUGCCCCACUUGCCCACAAAAGUAGCAUGUCAGGCUACUACUCUGGCUCGAUCCACCUCCCUGAGUGUAACUGGGACAAUCCUUUGCAAUAUGCCCGACUUGCCCACAAUGAAAACAUGUCAACCCAGUGUACCUAGAAGGAGCCCUGGCGGUGCUAGCUACAGACUGUGGUCCCGAAUACUGAGUCCAAGCUGAACGAGAACCGGAUCUCCCACUGCUAGAACUAGAUCCCCGUCCUCCUGACCAUCCUCCACUAGCCGAACUGGAACUAGAUCCUCCCCUCUUUGAUGGACCCUGACUGGGCCCACCAAUUCCUGGUGCAUCCCUACGGCGCCUACCAACAUUCCCACCAAGUUUCCUUGCCACCCUUGCCGCUGCCUGAGCCAAAGCCCUCAUAUUUGGAUAAGUACUAGCGGUAACAACUGCCUGAAUUUCCCACCAUAAACCUUCCUCAAAGCGUCUACAUCUGUCUUCCUCGGUAGCCACUAACUCAGGAGCAAAUCUGGACAGCUCAUUAAAUUUGUGUUCAUAUUCCACUACUGUCAUAGACCCCUGUUUCAAGUAGAGAAACUCUGAUUUCUUUGCCUGUUUAUAAGAAGGUGGGUAAAACUGAUCUGAAAAUACUCGCUGAAAUUCUUCCCAAUUUAUGGUAGCCGGAUUUUCAUAACCCCUUUUUACUGCUUUCCACCAAUGAUACGCAUUUCCCUUGAGUAGAAAGGUGGCCAAACGGACUCUAUCCUCAGCUGGGCAUUCCAGGACAUCAAAGAUUCUCUCCACAUCAGUAAUCCAUAAUUCUGCUUCUGCCGGAUCUGUACUACCCAGGAAUUCUUUAGCUCCAAGUUCCUUAACUCUCUUAAUUUCUGAACUUUCCGUACCACGCCUUCCCCCUAAGGCUGUAGCCAUUGUACGAGUAAACUGACUGAGCACAUGCCUCAAAUCCAAAGCAUUAUCUCCAGCAGGUGGAGGUGGUGAAGGUGAAGGUGAAGGUAGUGGUGGUGAAGGAGGGGGUGAUGGAGAUGGAGGUGGAGGAUUCGGCCCCCAUCUCUGCCCACGGCCUCUAAUUCUAGCUCUGCGAGCUGACAUGAUUCUACACAAAGAAAUCAUGAAAUCAUUAGAUCAACAAUGCAGCAAAAGUGCAAUAGUCGAAGGAAAAUGAACCUAAUGCUCUGAUACCAAGCUGACAGGACCCGCCCCGGAAUUUCCCGAAGACCGAGGCAGACCCCGUCUUGAUCCCGACAUCCUCCCGAUGCCGGGCCCACCUACUUAAUAAUCGAGACUUUCUACCAAAAAUUUGGCAGAGUCUCCCCUGCAAUUUAAGCAAUCCCAACAAAAUUUAUUCAACCUGCAACACACAGUAAUACUAAUCCCAACCAGCAGCAUGCUUUCAUACACACACAAGUCAUACUAGAGUGGCCUCCGGCCUCACAAGUAAAAUCUACCAUGGCAUACAGAGCAUCUACUGAAUUUAGAUUACAAGAACAGUUGAGUAUAAGAAUUUACACAGUUCUUAAUUAUAAAGAUGCACUGACUCCGCUGCAGACACCACUUGUACUUCCAGGAGCAACUACUGGCUGGGGGGCGCAAAACAGAAAACAUGUGAGUGGACAAAAACCAGGUUUGCAGUUAAAACAACAUAGUAACCCCACCAUGUAAAAAUAAUGCACAAGUCAUGCAGUUUCACAAUCCAAUAAUUAAUAUACUCAAAACAUGGUUCAUUAAAACUCUUCUAAAACAUCAGUCAACUCUUUCCAAAAAGAACCCCAUUCCCUCAAACUCACCUCUCCUGUCAACUAAUAAACAAUCUCCAAUUCCUUUCACACUCAACUAUACAUAUUCAAUAAUUAUACAUAUAAAUACAUAAAUAUAAAUAACUAUAAUUAGCUAUACGAUAUACUUAUCACACCACCUAGGUACCGGGGAAAACAAUCCAACUGGGGGAUCGUUUGACUAGUCCGCAGGAUUUCCAGGUGCUAUCCUGCGUCUAGGGAUGAGCGGUCCAACCGGGGGACGAAACUCCAAAGCUCCCACACUGGAACAUCCAACGCCAUGUGUAGCUCUCAAACUAUGUCCUACGCGCGCAGACUGGAUCAUCACACACCGGAACAUCCAACGCCAUGGUGAUGACCCUAAACUCUAUACACAGUCUUUCCGUACGCCGGAACAUCCAACGCCGCAUACGGAAAGUGUCUCACCCGCCGGAACAUCCAACGCCACGAGUGAGACUAGUAACCGGGGAAGGUACUUACGUAGUGUAAUCCCACAACUCCUCUCUAAUCACAUUCUUCCAUAUCACUCUCCAACAGCCCAAAUAUCUCAUCUAAAAAGAAUAUAUAUCAAAAUAUACCUCCCCACAAUCCAUAUAUGAAAUACACUCUCAAAACCCAAAAGGCCAACUCAUAAUAUAUUGCCAAUUGCUAUACACCCAUUGAAAUUAAUUCAUGCAUAUAAUACAUAAAAAUCCAGAAGCCAUUAAAACAUCAUGUAAAACAUUUCAUCAAUUAAAACCAUGCAUAUGAUUAAAACAAAGUCCACUCACAAGUAUUCCCUCGCUGCCUGACCACGUGAAGGUCCUGCUUGCUGCGUGCGUGCAGUCGAAAUACCUAUUUCGAAAUACGAACCGUUAAUUAAUAUAAAAACCACGUCUAAGCGGAAAUUACAAAUUAAGUGCUUAACUCCCCAAAUUCCCAUACGUGCACGUCGAAGAUUGUACCCUAAGGUCCGAUUACAGGUUUAGGAAGCGUUCACGAUUUUACGGUUAUCGCUAACCCGCAAACUUUGCAUUUUUGAAUCGGAACAUCCGGGGCUCCGAUUCAGAAUUCGUGAAGUCCCAUACGGUCCUAGGAAUACCUAGAACAACAUAUUUUAAAUUGGAAAAGAUCUAACGGUUGGAACCUAUCGAACCCGGAUAACGUAUAAUAUGCGAAAAUCCGUUCGAUAGCCAAACGACAUCCGAAUCGAGAUCCGCGAAUUCCUAUGCGCUCGUGACAACCUAAGGAUCUCAUCGGGUCAAUUUACAUCCUCACCAAACUCGCCCACGCGCCGCCACACGCGCCGGCAGCGCGUGGGUGUGCAGAGUAAUUCCGGUGACGGAAAAACUCCACACCCGAGCUCACCCUUCCUACCCUAGCUUCUACUCGAUGUCAGGAUCACUUCAUUCAACUACGAGAAGCUCCAAUUCGGCCGGCAACUGGCCGGAAUUUCAUUUUGAAAUUCGGCCCAAAACCUAGAUUCCUAAUCGGUUUUCUAGACUCAAAAUCAAUGAAAACCUAUACCAUCAACAGCUAGAACUCGAAAAUUGGAUGAGAAACCAUACCUCACCCGUCUGAAAUAGUGCUCGGAGGAGAGAGAACGAUCGACUGGAAGCUCAGACAAGGAUCGGCCUGAAAUUCGCGUUUUCCGGCGACGAGGCGGCGGCGGGCGACUGGAGAUGGGUCGGGGAACGUCGGCGAGGUCUGGCCGGUUGUUUCGGGUCCGGUCUCGCGGCUGGCCGUGGUCUGUGGCGGUGGCUCCGUGUCUGCAAAUCGGAGAAGGAGGAAGAGGGACGCGGGAGAGAGAGAGAGAGAAUCGGGAGGAAGAGAGAGAAAGUGAGGUAAAAC